rnacentral:lncRNA from 10 species
AACCGUUGGUCUAAACAAGUCAGUGGUUAAAAUCACUCAUGAGCUCAUGUUUGCUGAGUAUCUGUGUAACUGUUUUACGUGUAUAUAUAGGAAUCUUCUGUUUAGUCAUCUGUAAAAUGGGGGUAAUAGUACCAGCUCAUGACAUUGUGAGGAUUGAAUGACUCAGAACAUGAAAAGCAGUUAGAAUAGCGCCUGGCAUUAUAAGCGCUCAACAAAUGUAAAUUCUAAUUAUGUAUAACUUAUUAAUGUAUAGACACAAAUUCAAAGAAAUACAGAAAACAAAGACUCUUCCCUCCUCAUUUAUUUUGGAAUGUGCUAGAAACAGCUUGAAACAUCCCUUUAAUAGCUUCCUGGCCUCACGAGUGUUGAAUGACAUGACGAAUUCUCCUUCAUAGAAGGUACAGGUGAACCAGAACUGGAGGGGCAUUUGGGAUCCUUCCUUCUUCAGAAAGUG